UACAGAGGCCCCAAGCGUUACUGAGAAUCACUGGGUUUAAAGGGUGCGUAGGUGGCGCGUUAAGUCCGUUGUGAAAGCCCUGGGCUCAACCAGGAACUGCUUCGGAUACUGGCGCGCUUGAGGCUAGUAGGGUCACUGGAACUGACGGUGGAGCGGUGAAAUGCGUAGAUAUCGUCAGGAACGCCAAUGGUGAAGACAGGUGACUGGGCUAGUUCUGACACUGAGGCACGAAAGCGUGGGGAGCGAACGGG
rnacentral:rRNA from 1 species